CUCUAGGUAUAUGUGGUGUACCUUGUGAAGAUGACACACAAUGUAAUGAUGGCAAAAUAUGUUGCCCAGACACCUGUGGUCAACGUUCUUGUAGAAUACCAGGUUAGACAAGGUUAAGGCUAUAGAUCAACCUGUACUAUUUCUUUGAUGAAAUCAUGCUUCUGAUAUUCCUCUUUUCUUUGCCCACAGUGAGUUAGUAGAAUCUAGAAUACACUUGGUGGGAUCAUCUUGAGAAUAAGCGGUCAACAUCGGAUUCUGAUGGUCGAGGACCUAUAAACAAAUAUAUAAACAAGUUCUGGUCACUGAAUUGAAAAGCAUAGAUGCUGAUGACUGUCCUGUAGUAAAAUACUCUGUGCGUAUAGCCCGUCCUAUUUGCACAGAUAUGCACCUUUUAGAAAGAGAGAGUGUGUGUAUAUGCAUUUUAAUUGCUUCUUAUUCUCUUUGGCUUGGUGUAUUUUAGUUUGUGGCUAUCAACAUGACAUAAAUAAAAUGCUCAAUUUAUUUGAAUGCUCAGAUUGUAGCUUUUUUUUAAAUUGGCUGUGGAAUUCUUUAAAAGGACACUGUAGGUACCAUGUGCUUCCU